GACGAACGCUGGCGGCGUGCUUAACACAUGCAAGUCGAGCGGAAAGGCCCUUCGGGGUACUCGGGCGGCGAACGGGUGAGUAACACGUGAGUAACCUGCCCCAGACUUUGGGAUAACCCUCGGAAACGGGGGCUAAUACCGGAUACGACACAGCUUCGCAUGGGGUCUGUGUGGAAAGUUUUUCGGUUUGGGAUGGGCUCGCGGCCUAUCAGCUUGUUGGUGGGGUGAUGGCCUACCAAGGCGACGACGGGUAGCCGGCCUGAGAGGGCGACCGGCCACACUGGGACUGAGACACGGCCCAGACUCCUACGGGAGGCAGCAGUGGGGAAUAUUGCACAAUGGGCGGAAGCCUGAUGCAGCGACGCCGCGUGAGGGAUGACGGCCUUCGGGUUGUAAACCUCUUUCAGCAGGGACGAAGCGUAAGUGACGGUACCUGCAGAAGAAGCGCCGGCCAACUACGUG
rnacentral:rRNA from 1 species